GGUAGGAUGGCCGAGACUAGGUAAUAAAUUGUAAAUUUAUAGACGGAUUAAAUUUCUCCUACCA
rnacentral:tRNA from 1 species